AUCACCCUCUCUACUUAUGUAUCAAAAUGUUUAUAUGUAGUAGCCUACCUAUAAGUUUUCUUUAUAUCUGUUCACGGAAAAGAACACAUUAGGUCUCGAGCUUACUACGUAGACUAGGCUAGUCAAACUCAAAUAUAGGGCUCCUUCUGCCUACCACUCAGAUGCUAGCCUGUGCUUUUAGUUUAUUUAUUUUAAUUAGUUAAGUGAGUUGACUAAUUAGAAAAUGAAGUCUUGUGCAGUAACUCAGGCUGGCCUCAGGUGAGAAUAACCUUGAACUUCCUGAGCCUCCUGCUUCCCGAUUUAGAGUAUUGGGAUUAUAGGUAUGUACCAUUACUCCCUCUUAGUUUUUAUUUACUUUUUUACUUUCUUGAAUAGUGUCUUACCUAUAGCCUCAGGUGGCCAUAAAGCCAUGGUAGUCUUCCUGCCUCAGCCUCUAAAGUGCUUCACAGACAUAUAUCACCAUAUUAAUCUAAGAUAAAUUCUUAAGAGAGUAUAUUUGACAGCAGAUGGUAAAAGAAUCUUAAAAUGUGAAUUUAUUACCAAUACUAACUUUAGCUCACUUCAUUUAAAAGUAUUUAGUAAUUUGAUUAGUCCCAAAAGAUUUGUAUAGCCCAUACUUACAAAUUUCUCUCUCUCUCUCUCUCUUUUUUUUUUUUUUUUGUAGAUUUACUUCUUGAGACAUGCAAUUUUUUUUUAAACUAUAAGUGGCCAAACAUCUGGCUAAUCUUUAUGCCUCUGAUACCUGUCCAGAGUCUCACACAAACUUGUGUUGUAAGUGGUUGAUUAAGGUAGGAAAGGACUGAUAAGAGGCAAGAUGAGUAGAAGUUUGACCCAAGAAUUCUCCACCAUGAUUCCAUUUUUUAAGCCAAGCCCAGUGUAGAGAGCUUGCAUAAUCCGUGAAAUCUUGCACAGCGUGUGUGGAUCCCCAGUGCAGCAGAAGCUGAGUGUAGUGGUGUAGUCCCGAGAGGUAGAGGUAAGGGGAUCAGAAGCUAAAGGGUGCCCUCAGCUACAUAGAAUUCAAGGCUGGCCUAUAUGAGACUCUUAAUUCCAAAAGGGAAGAAGCACAAGUUACAGAUCACAUUUAACCAAGAGAUCUUCUGAAGAUGUUGGGUAGAACUUUGCAGAACCUGUCAUUUUAUCAUUCAGAGUUGACUGUAUUCUGGAGGAUUAAUUAUCCUUAAUCAGACUAUGGAAAUUAAGAACAAAGACCCACAGGAUAUGUGACCCAAGGCAAAAUGGUCAUUUUAUUAGCUUUCUUUCUAAUUAAAUGAGGGUAAUCAUAAUACCUAAUUCAGGGUUCUUUAAAGAGAUUAACUGAUCAUUUCAAAAUCCUAAUACUAAAGGAAUAUUCAAACAAAUAGCAUAGGGAAAAACUAGUAGAAAAAUAAAAUUAAGUCUAGCAUUGGACCUUGUACAUUGAACUUCUACUUAAUUUUUUACUUUUUAUUUUUACUUUUAUAUUUAUUAUUGCUAGUUUGUAGCACCUUUACUAAUAUUCAUAUAUGCAUAGAUAUUAAGGCUGUUAUUUAUAGCAUCCCAUUUUAAUCUGAGUACUGUGGAAACCUGAUCAAUCAUCAGAAGGCCUCUUUUUGAAUAUGUGAUUGAACAGAAAGAAGGAAAAAGAAAGAAGGAAUGAAAAUAACCCAGAGGGGAUAAUUUAAAAAAAUUUGGGGUUGUAAAACUUGGAAAAACCACUUGUCUAGAAUUCAAAUUAUUCAUCUCUCUAGCUAUAUCCAUGAACUUCUGGUUUUCCUUUGGCUACUUGCCUCUCUUUUCAUAUAUAAAACCUAUAUAUAUCAUAUGGAUGCUGAUAGAUUACAUUUUAAGCUCUGAAGAUGGGUGUGGUAGCUGACUCAUGACUGUAAUAGCAGCAGCAAUUGGGAUGUGGUGGUGGUGGUGGGCCUGAAACAGAAGAAUUGUGUGUUUAAGUCCAGCCUAUGAGAGCCUGCCUAAAAAUAAUUUUAAACAAUGUUGUCAUUUAUCACAAGUUCCAAUAUUUCAUAUGAAGUAACUAAUUUUUCUUCCUUAUUAAAUACCUAUUCCUAGAGAAUAUGUUGUUGUUUUAAUGUAAUUCAACUCAUUUAAACAUAAACUAACCGUGUAUAUUUAUUUUACUUAACAUUCAAAGCACCUUUCUGAAGUAAGUUUCACCAGUAUAAUUUCAUAACAUACUGAGGCUAAAGAGGAAUUAAAUGAGUUGCCUGUCUUUGUGCGGUUAACAAACACAGCAGUCAGAAGCUGGUCUCAUACCAUGAUCACCUUUGCACAACAUCAGAAUAGCCGGAUGAGAAAGCAUUUACAAACCUGGCAAUGAGUCAGCUCCUUCAGAGUAGACUAUUCCUGCAAACGCUUUCUAGUCUGCGGCGGAUUUUAGUGGACUCAACUUCAGAAUAUCCUGUGCUAAUCUUGUAACUCUCCAUAUCUGAGAAAAUGGAAGAAAAUUCGAGAUUAGGAAACUCUUGAAAAAAAGGAAAGUUUGAAUUUGUUGGGAUUAAAGGCAUGCAGCACCACUGCCCAUCUGAACUUCAGAAUUGCUGAAACCUUUAAGAUACAGAAUUGCAUUAUAAGCCCCAAUCAUUAUGGAAAUUUAAAAAUUUUUCCUCUUUGACUGAUCAUAUUCAUCAUUAAAGCAAGUUGCGGCAUGUGAGUGACCUAGUCUAUAAUUUAGACUAACAAUUGAUUCGUGAAUUAUAUACAUCUCUUUUGAAUUUCAUUGUAUCUGGUUUCUAGAACAUCUUUGUGCUUUCCCCUGCAUGAAUGGCUUCCCACCAUGUUUUUUCCUAGAUGAAAAGGGGAACUGUGAAGUCAACCCUCUUGUCUGUAGUGUUCGUACAUAGAGAAGGAAAACCUGCUGUCUAGCUUCAGCCUUUCUCAGUCCAAGAAGUGAACCUCAUCUAAUCUUUAACACAUGUGGGUUUUUUGUGGUAUGUGCUUAAAUAUUUCUGUUUGCUUUAAGCAUUGUUUCCUUAAGGGAUUUAUGGAUGAGCUGUUGUAUUUAUAUCGGAUACUCUUCUUCAGUCAACUGACAACAGUGUACAAAGUGAGGCAGACUUGAUACUGUUAUUCAUUUCCUGGGGCAUGUGGUAGAGAAAGUUUGUAUCAGAUCUCCACAUGUAUAGACACAUGCAUGUGUGCGCAUGCACACACACACACAAAUAAAUAUAAUUUUAGAAAAGAACAAGUUGUGAGCUGGGUAUGGUGGCUCAUGUUUGUGGUCCUAGCCCUCAGGAGACUGAGGAUUGCUGUGAGUUCUAGGAUAGACUUUAUAACAUCCUGUCUUAAGCAAACAUACAAACAAAUAAAACAAAACCAAUUUUUUGUAGUUUUCUCAUAUAAGAUGCAGUUGAAACACUGGUUUCCAGUUAAGUUAAGCUCUUCAAAUACUUACUACCAUUAACAGGGGAUAUUGUAGUAUUUGUACUUCUGUUGUUUCUAUUUUGGGCAUUUGUGGUUGUUUGUUUGUUAUAGGACUUAAUUGUUCAUAUUCUGAGCUUCACAGAAGAGUAUCUUUUCACUCUCUCACUGUCUUAGGUAGGGCUCUGUUGCUAUGAGGAGACACCAUGGCCAUGCAGAUCUUAUAAAGGAAACAUAGGAAGCAUUUUACUGGGGCUGGUUUAUGGUUUCAGAGGUUCAGUCCAUUGUCAUGGUGGGAAACAUGGCGGAGUGGUGCUGGAGAAGGAGUGAGAGUUCUACAUCUUGAUCCACAGGCAGCAGAAGGAGAUUGGCAUAGCUUGUCAUAGGAGACUUCAGAACCCAACCCUAUAGUGACACACUUCAUCUAACAAAGCCACACCUCCUAAUAGUGCCACUCCCUAUGGGCCAAGCAUUUAAAUACAUGAGACUGUGGGGGCCAUACCUAUUCAAACCACCACAUCCACUGUUCUGUUAUUUCUGUUUGCUCCUCCUGUCCCUGGGAAACCAGCUUCUUUAAUUUCUGCUUUAGAUUUCUUGUAUUUGUUUUGUACAAAUGAAUUGAUAAAUGAACAUCUCUACCGAGGGUACUGAGGUAGCACACUGCUCCUGUUUACUUUAUCCUUUUACCAUUCUUCUCUUCUUUCCAUCGCAUGGCUAUGUUAUUACUUCACUGUGCCUCAAAAGACAGAAUAAGGGACUGAACUCACAUGUCCCAGGCUUGCCAUAGACUUGCUGUGAAGCUGAGGAGGUCUUUGAACUUCUGAUCUCCCUGCCUCUAGUAUACAAGUGCUAGGAUUACAGGCGUGCAUCACCAUGUUCAGUGUUAUGUGGGAUUCAAACCCAGGACUUUGUGCAGGCCAGGCAAGCAUCAACUACGUUAUAUCCACAGCCCCCAGAUUAGUAAUUCUAGUGUAGUUAGAUUCCGGAGUGCUAUUCCUUAUGUUAUGAUUACUAUCUAGUUACGUAGCCAGUUCUUCAGUACUGUUUAAUUAUAGGGAUUAACCCUUUCUCACUGCUCUGCACUGUCACUUGUGUAUAAAAGCAGUAUAUGUAUAUUGCUCUGUCGGUUUUUCUACUAGAUUCCAGUGAUCUUGAUGGUUUUACCUAUUUUAAACUUGUUUCUUUAAUGAAUGGUGGUAAUUUUAUAAAUUGGAGCUUCUUUUAUCUUUUUAGGUUUCUUUCCCUAGAUUUAAAGCGAGUUUUUUUAAACUAUUUUUCCUUGAGUUAGUUUUGGUUUUGAUUUCAAACUGCUUCUUACUGGUAUAGAGAUACAGUUUGAACUAGUACCUGUGAGUUUUUCUUUCUGUUGACUGUUUCAUGACAUAAUUACUUGAUUUCUCUGUAUCAAGUUACAGUUAUUUUAUUUUCAGACAUUCUCAUAUAUCCUAGGUUAGUCUGGACUUGAUAUGUAGGUGAAGAUGUUCUUGACCUCCUGAAACUCUAGCCUCUCCUUCCAAGUGAUGGGAUUAUAUACAUGUGCUACUACAUUUGGUUUAUGUGGGGUUGGGGACCAAACCCAGUAUUUUAUGUGUUGUAAGGCAACAGUCUACCACCUGAGCUAUAUCCUGGGCCCCUCAAUUAUAAAGUUAAGUUCUUUUUAAGACUGAAUAAUUCUUCACCUCAGGUAUCACUAUAUCUCUUUUUCUACUGAAAAAAUCUUGGCUGCAUGAAAUUUUAGCAACUUGGAAUAAAGCUACUAUAAAAUCCCUUUUGCACUGCUAAAACCAUUUUGCAUGGUGGGGUAUAUACAAUUUUUAGCACUGGGGGAGGCUAAGAGGAGGAUCUCAAGCAUGGUGGCAGUCUUUGCCCUGUCUCAGUAAAAACAAGCAAAUGCAAAUCCCCAUUACGGUGUUUGCAGAGUCAUGUUUAUGUUCUGCUAAACACCAGGGAGUAGGACUGCUGGAUUUUGUGGUAAUAUAAGUGUUUGCUUCAAGUGUCAUGGCCCACACCUUCAAUGCUAGCCUUGGGAAAGCAGGUAACUCUGUGAGUUGAGGCCAUUCAGAGCUACAUGGUGAGCCCCGGUGCCUUUAAAAAAAGUUCUUGACUGUGUAAGGAAACUAUAGUUCCUGUAGUAGCUCUGCUGGGUUUUGUCCAUAUCAGAUCAGUAUGCAUUCCUGUCUCAUGCGCACCAGCACUUCUCAGCAUCAGCAUCAGUUUCGGCCAGUCGCUGAAUAGUCUUAUCAGUUUAUUUUUGUAUUUUCUUAGAAUAAGGACAUUAGAAUUGCAAAACUUGUUGGUAUAAAACUAAUCAUAAAAAGUAUAUUUAGUCUUUGUUCUGUUUAAAAUUUUAAUUUUUAGAAAGAUUGUCUGUCUGUCUGUGUAAGUACACAUCACAUGUGUUCAGGUAUCUCUGGGAACCAGAAGAGAGGGCACUGGAGCUGCCUGGUGUGGGAGCGGGGGCUCAAACCAGGUCCCACCGGAAGAGCAGGAAGUACUUUAACUCUUGAGCCGCCUUCCCAGCCCCACCCACCCCUCUUUUAAAAGAUUCUGUUCUGAUUAUUUGUGCUUUAUCUUUUCUCUUAAUUGUCUUAUUAGAAAUCAAUUUAUUAUUUAUUGUAAGGUAAAUAGUUAAGUGUUUGGCCACCUGUAGUAUGCUUCUUGCUACAUAGGUUUCAGUUCACCUGUGAGACUUAGAGGUGGGAAUAUUUUGCAAAUAUUCAUGAUUCUCUGUGUUGGCUAGACAUUGUCUCAGUGGAUAAAAUGCUUUCUGUGUGAGGAUCUGGGCUGGGAUUUCCAGAACCCACGUAAAGCUGGAUGAGAUGGUGUGCCUGUGAUCUUAGGGCCUCUGUCAGGUUGGAGGGCAGAGACAGGGGAGUCUCUUAAACUCAACACACAAAGAUCCUGUCUUAAACAAGUGAAGUGAAGGGCCCACCUCAGACUGUCCUCCGACCUCUACAAAGAUGCCUUUACACAAAUGCGACCCCAAGUAAACAUAUCACGUCCACACAGGCACACACAGCGGUGGAAGCAUGCUCAUUUCAGAGUGCUCUGUGGGAAGUUGAAGUGAGAUCUGCGUGUAAGUGUGCUGCGUGCAUUAGUGUUUUACUCUGUGUAUGCAUGUGCACUAUAUGCAUGCCUGAUGCUUGCAGGGGCCAGAGGAGAGCAUCAGAUUCCUUGGGACUGGAGUUACAGAAGAUUAUGAGCUGCCAUAUGGGUCCUGGGAAUUGAGCCUGCGUCUUCUGGAAGAGUAGAUGGACUCUUAACUACUUAGCCAUCUCUUCACUUCCUGCAGUCAAUUUAGAAUUAUUAGGUUCUUGUUUUUAUUUCUUGAGAUUUCUUGUCCCCACUGGAUCUUUCUACCUCAGCCUCCAAAAUUGUGGGAUUAUUUUAUUUUAAAUUGUUAAUUUAAGGUAAUUGUAGGCUUUAUUGUUUUUGAAGGGAUGCUUUUGUAUCUAUGUGAUUAUGAAUCAGUAUAUGUCUGAUGUCAGCAUACAGUGAAUGAAACUCAUUUAGUGCUUGUUCUGUUACCCAACAGGACUUGCUCACUUUUAAUUGAGAAGUGUUUAUGGGAACAAUGCUGGGACUUUUCUAGUAAUAGACAAUUGUUACUAUUUGUGUUUGGAAAGUCAAAAGAAAAAUGAACACUGGUUUUACGUAUUUUUAGUUCUUUGAAAACCACAGUAGAAAUUCCCUCAUCUCACACUGUUUCUGUGUAGCUGUUUUCUAGAGUCCUGCUCAUUAGCUAUACUACCAGGCAUUUAGUUAGGAACCAGUACUUUAAGGGCUGUUAGUGGUUUAUAAGGAUCAUGGUGAUGUUCACUUAACAUAAGGGCAGAACAACUUUGCGGUUUUAAAUGAGCCAGAAUUUCUGUCUUAAAGUAUAUGUCUUCAGUGCUGAAUUAGUGCCUUCCUGUGGAGAUUGGAAACGUGAUUGCUGUAUUGAAGCACAUUCACUCUGUCAUGGCAAAUGGUGCUUAUUACUUGGCAAUAAUUUUGUGUACAAUUUAGCAAAACAAUCUUUUAAAAGAGGAAAAAAAUAAAGAAGUAUUUCACUUUAAAAAUAGAAAGUUAUAUUCCCCAAGUACUAUCUUAUAUCUUCCUCUUACUUUAAAUUAUUAUAGAAACUAUACAGACGAAGCCAGUCAUGGUGUCAUGUGUCUUAAUAUCAGCACUCAGGAAGCAGAGGUAGGUGCAUCUCUAAGGUUUCAGCCAAAGCUGUACACUGAGGCCUUGUCUUCAGCAACGGCAGCAAAACCCUGUUCCACUGAAGAUAGUGAGGAAUGUGAUAAGGAGUAAUAGAUGCUCUUGCAAGUUAGAGAGAAAGGCUAACUGCUAACAUGUAAGAAAAUGCUGAGGAAAUUUAGUUUUUAGAUAGCAAAUUAAAGGAAUAGAGGUGCACACUAACUAGUAUAUUGGCAAACUUCCUGAGAUGCAUGUGCAUGGUAAUUAGAAGCAUAUUGACUUUUAAAUGUCAGCCAGCUUUUAUUCUCUUCCUCCUAGUGUCUGUUUGUAUGAACAGUGAUUAUUUUUACUUUUCAAGGGGGUUAUCAAGUUUUCUGUGAACAUUUGUUAAUUACUACUACUAUAUAUAGCUGCUACCAGCAAUGGUUCAGGGUUUUCUUGGUUGAAUUUCUUAGUUGUUAAAGCAUUGUUAAGACUUUCUCAUUUCAUUAUUGAGGUUUGGGGGCAUAGCCUAUGAAUCCAGUAAACUGAUGCUCUUAGUUGUGUCCCUUAUAGUAUAUUAUUGACAUAUUAUCAGUUACAUUCUAAGAGGAAAAGAGAACUGGGCUAAAUUAGUUUACUUGAGACUUGUGUAUGCCUGCUAUUAGUAUAUUCUGUUAGUGUGUUUUAUUGGCUAUAGGGGCUAUAGGAGCAGACAGCGUUUAAAGGAGACUGAACCUCUGCCCUGUUUCACAUUUUAGGAUGCUUACUUUCUUAAUCUCACUAGGGAGUCCAAUGGAGAAAAAGCACACAUCUCCCUCCAGUGAACAACUAAAGACUACACAAGCAUCAAAAAUAUUCUAGUUUCAGAAAAGGAAAAAUAUUAUAUAGAAGAAUGAGAGAUAUGUAUUUUGAUGUGGACUACGAAUAUAACUGUAUACAGAGGACUUGUCUUUAUGUAUGAGGCUCUAAGGUCAAGUCCCAGCACCACAAACAAGACCCACUUGGAUUUUUGGAGCAAUUAAGAAUGAGAAACCACUGAUUGCAAUUAAGAAUAGGACCAUAAUCCCAGCACUUGGGAGGCUUAGGUAGGCCACCAUGAAUUAGAAGCCCUCUUGGGCUGCAAGUAAGUCUGUCUUAAGAAGGGAAAACAAGAGGCUACUGAGAUAGUUCAGGGGUAAAUAACCCCAGGUGCUUUUCUAGAAAGACUUGGGUUUGAUUUUCAGCACCUAUGUGGGAACUUAAAACUAUCUUUUUUAAAAAAAUUUUUUCCUUUCAUAUAAUACAUCCCAACUGCAGUCUCCCUUCCCCCAGCCUUCCCCUCUCUUUCCCAUGUCUGUUCCCCCCACUUUGCCUUUCCUCAGAAAAGAGCAGGCUUCUCAGGGACAUCAAACACAAGCGUCAAUAAGACCAGCCAUAUACCAUUAUAUCAAGGCUGGACGAGACUACCCAGUUGGAGAAACAGGUUCCCACCAGCAGGCAAAGGCAUCAGAGACAGCCCCUGUCCCCACUAUUAGGGACCCCACAAGAACAUGCAGCUAGCUAUUUAGCCACAACAUGUGUCAGAGGACCAGGUCAGAUCUCUGCAAGCCCCCGUGAGUCCUGUCAGUUGAUUUUGCAGGCCAUGUUCUAGGAGUGUCCCUAACCUUUCUGGUUCUUCAGAUCCUUCCUCCACCUCCCCUACAGGACUCCGGGAGCUCUGCCUAAUGUUUGGCCAUGGGACUGGCUCUCAUCUGCUCCCAUUAGCUGCUGGAUGGAGUCUGGCUGGUCUCUGAUGACAGUUUAUGCUAGUCUCCAGUUGCAGAACACUCUGCAGGCAGGUUGAAGGGUUUAUGGCUGGGUUGGUAUACCUGUCCCUCCACUUUAGGCCUUACCUGCUUACAGAAGAUGCCUGGGUCAGGCUCCCUGACCCCAACUACUAGGAGUCUUUGCUAGCAUAACCAUCUCUGGUAUCUCAAGUUCAGAACUCAAGUUCUGAGGGACCUGAGGCCCUCUUUUGGCCUCUUUUGGCCCUCUUUUGGGCAACCAGGCAUGCAUGUGGCACACUAGACAUAUAUGCAGGCAAAAUAUCCAUACACAUAGUUUUUUCUUUUUAAGUGAAAACAAAACCAAAACAAAAUGGCAUAAUCUAAAGAUCUGAAUAGGAGGAAAAGGAAGGAUGAUCUCGGGAAUGGAACCAUGUAUAGACUGGCUUUCACUCCUUACUCGAGCUGCAGCUCCUCUGUACUCAGACUGUACCCGAAGUCUCUAAUAUUCAGUUUUAGGAUGGAAUUCAGCUCGUUAUCAUCUACAACACACGGUGUGGGCAUGCACUCACUAGUUCUUCAAUUAAAUCGUCAUAAAGCUUUGAAUAUAAUAUUCAUCACCUCAUUUCCAGAGACACUAGUAAUUUUCUCAGAAUUAUUAUUGAGGGUUAAAUUUUUUUGAGAUAUAGAAGCAGGUAGUCCAAGCUUGCCUUGAACUCUCUGUGUAUUGGAAACUGACCUUACAUCUUUGAUCUUCCUGCUUUCAUCUCAUGAAUGCUAGGAUUAUAAGCCUGUGAGAACACACCCAGUGUUAUAUUGUACUGGCUUCAUGCAUACUAAGCAAAUACCCCACCUGCCUGAGGUACAUCCCAGCCCCAUUCUAACAUUUUACUCCAACUUCCUUUUUUCAGCAAUAGAAGUAUUUCUUUUUUUUUUUUUUUUUUUUUUUUUGAGCUGGGGACCGAACCCAGGGCCUUGCGCUUGCUAGGCAAGCGCUCUGCCACUGAGCUAAAUCCCCAACCCCCAAAGUAUUUCUUUGGUGUUACUAUCUCACUGUACAAAAGACAAUGUGUGUUCGUGUUUCACAGUAUCUGUUAGAGGACUCCUCCUACCCGUGUGUGUGUGUGUGUGUGUGUGUGUGUGUGUGUGUGUGUGUGUGUGUGUGUGUGUGUAGCUAGGGAGAUCAAUCUUGGAUAUUAUUUCUUAGAUGUUAUCUGCCUUGUUUUUUACAUGAUUUCUUUCUUGACCCCAAACUUGGUGGUUAGACGAGUCUGGUUGUCAGGUGAUCCUGUCUUUGCCUCUUGGUGCUUGGAUUAUAAGAUGUUGCCACCACACCUUGGCUUUAUCACAUGGAUCUUGGGGAAUCGAACUCAGGUCUUAAUGCUUGUACAGCAAACACUUUGAUGAAGUUAUGGCUCCAGUUUCCCCACUUUUUAUUAUUAUGCAUUCUUGCAUUUAAAGGCAGAGUACUUUAUAAAUAAGGUGUUUUUUUAUUUUAUUUUUCUCCCACC